AUCUAGCUUCGGCUAGGGAGUCGCGAACGGCUGAGUAAUAGAUAGGAAUCUACCCUUUGGUGGGGAAUAACCCGGAGAAAUCCAGGUUAAUACCGCAUAAUAUCUACGGAGGAAAGGGCGUAACUGCCCGCCGAAGGAGGAGCCUAUCUCCCAUCAGCUUGUUGGUAGGGUAAUGGCCUACCAAGGCUUCGACGGGUAGGGGGCGUGAGAGCGUGUACCCCCAGAAUGGCACUGAGACACGGGCCAUACACCUACGGGUGGCAGCAACCGGGAAUUGUGCGCAAUGGGCGAAAGCCUGACGCCGCGACGCCGCGUGAGGGAUGAAGGCCUGAGGGUCGUAAACCUCUUUUGGUCGCCAAGAGAUU
rnacentral:rRNA from 1 species